rnacentral:rRNA from 1 species
AUUGAACGCUGGCGGCAUGCUUUACACAUGCAAGUCGAACGGUAACAGGGUGCUUGCACCGCUGACGAGUGGCGAACGGGUGAGUAAUGCGUCGGAACGUGCCGAGUAGUGGGGGAUAACGCAGCGAAAGUUGUGCUAAUACCGCAUACGUACUGAGGUAAAAAGUGGGGGACCUUCGGGCCUCACGCUAUUCGAGCGGCCGACGUCUGAUUAGCUAGUAGGUGAGGUAAAGGCGCACCUAGGCGACGAUCAGUAGCGGGUCUGAGAGGAUGAUCCGCCACACUGGGACUGAGACACGGCCCAGAAUCCUACGGGAGGCAGCAGUGGGAAGUUUGGACAAUGGGCGAAAGCCUGAUCCAGCCAUGCCGCGUGUCUGAAGAAGGCCUUCGGGUUGUAAAGGACUUUUGUCAGGGAGGAAAUCCCUAGUGCUAAUAGCACUGGGGGAUGACAGUACCUGAAGAAUAAGCACCGGCUAACUACGUGCCAGCCGCCGCGGUAA